GAUGAACGCUGGCGGCGUGCCUAAUACAUGCAAGUCGAGCGAACAGACGAGGAGCUUGCUCCUCUGACGUUAGCGGCGGACGGGUGAGUAACACGUGGAUAACCUACCUAUAAGACUGGGAUAACUUCGGGAAACCGGAGCUAAUACCGGAUAAUAUAUUGAACCGCAUGGUUCAAUAGUGAAAGACGGUUUUGCUGUCACUUAUAGAUGGAUCCGCGCCGCAUUAGCUAGUUGGUAAGGUAACGGCUUACCAAGGCAACGAUGCGUAGCCGACCUGAGAGGGUGAUCGGCCACACUGGAACUGAGACACGGUCCAGACUCCUACGGGAGGCAGCAGUAGGGAAUCCUCCGCAAUGGGCGAAAGCCUGACGGAGCAACGCCGCGUGAGUGAUGAAGGUCUUCGGAUCGUAAAACUCUGUUAUUAGGGAAGAACAAAUGUGUAAGUAACUAUGCACGUCUUGACGGUACCUAAUCAGAAAGCCACGGCUAACUACGU
rnacentral:rRNA from 1 species